rnacentral:sRNA from 1 species
GCACUGGAGACACUGAUGCUGGAUGACAACAGACUUUCCAACCCCAGUUGCUUUGCCAGCCUGGCUGGGCUCAGGAGACUGAAGAAGUUAAGCCUGGAUGAAAACAGGAUUAUCAGGAUCCCAUACCUACAGCAAGUUCAGCUCUAUGACGAGUCAGUGGACUGGAAUGGAGGCAGGGGAAGUCCCCAAAAAGAGCCCCAAUUCAUUCUGCAGUCCAAGCCAAGGAUGCUUGAGGACUCAGAUGAGCAACUGGAUUAUACUGUACUGCCCAUGAAAAAGGAUGUUGACCGGACAGACAACCAAGAUAUGUUCACUUCCUCCCAUAUUCGAGAUCCUUCCUGUGAAGUCACUGAAGGCCAGGAACCAGACGCUGGCCCCACCCUUCCCAGAGCUGAGAUACCUUAGCCUGGCC